GGAGAGAUGUCAGAGCGGUUCAAUGUGCCUGUUUCGAAAACAGGUGUACUGUCAAAGGUACCGGGGGUUCGAAUCCCUCUCUCUCCG
rnacentral:tRNA from 1 species